rnacentral:rRNA from 1 species
AUUGAACGCUGGCGGCAUGCCUUACACAUGCAAGUCGAACGGUAACAGGUCUUCGGAUGCUGACGAGUGGCGAACGGGUGAGUAAUACAUCGGAACGUGCCUAGUAGUGGGGGAUAACUACUCGAAAGAGUGGCUAAUACCGCAUGCGAUCUACGGAUGAAAGCCGGGGAUCGCAAGACCUUGUGCUACUAGAGCGGCCGAUGGCAGAUUAGGUAGUUGGUGGGAUAAAAGCUUACCAAGCCGACGAUCUGUAGCUGGUCGGAGAGGACGAUCAUCCACACUGGGACGCAGACACGGCCACGACUCCUACGGGAGGCAGGAUGGGGGAAUUUUGGACAAUCGACGAAAGUCUGGUCCAGCAAUGCCGCGUGCAGGAUGAAGGCCUUCCGGUUGUAAACUGCUUUUGUACGGAACGAAAAGCCCCGGGUUAAUACCCUGGGGUCAUGACGGUACCGUAAGGAUAAGCACCGGCUAACUACGUGCCAGCCGCCGCGGUAA